UAAUCGGUAGCGGGGUGGUUUCACCGCUGAUGGCGUUGCCGGCGCUGUUCGCGAUUAACGUCCAGGUCGGUGCCGAUUUC
rnacentral:tRNA from 1 species